CUGGCGGCAGGCCUAACACAUGCAAGUCGAGCGCUCACUUCGGUGGGAGCGGCGGACGGGUUAGUAACGCGUGGGAAUAUGCCCGGUACUAAGGAAUAGCCUUUGGAAACGAAGAGUAAUACCUUAUACGCCCUUCGGGGGAAAGAUUUAUCGGUAUCGGAUUAGCCCGCGUAAGAUUAGAUAGUUGGUGGGGUAAUGGCCUACCAAGUCUACGAUCUUUAGCUGGUUUUAGAGGAUGAUCAGCAACACUGGGACUGAGACACGGCCCAGACUCCUACGGGAGGCAGCAGUGGGGAAUCUUAGACAAUGGGCGCAAGCCUGAUCUAGCCAUGCCGCGUGAGUGAAGAAGGCCUUAGGGUCGUAAAACUCUUUCGCCAGAGAUGAUAAUGACAGUAUCUGGUAAAGAAACCCCGGCUAACUCCGUGCCAGCAGCCGCGGUAAUACGGAGGGGGUUAGCGUUGUUCGGAAUUACUGGGCGUAAAGCGCACGUAGGCGGACUGGAAAGUUGGGGGUGAAAUCCCGGGGCUCAACCUCGGAACUGCCUCCAAACUAUCAGUCUAGAGUUCGAGAGAGGUGAGUGGAAUUCCAAGUGUAGAGGUGAAAUUCGUAGAUAUUUGGAGGAACACCAGUGGCGAAAGCGGCUCACUGGCUCGAUACUGACGCUGAGGUGCGAAAGUGUGGGGAGCAAACAGGAUUAGAUACCCUGGUAGUCCACA
rnacentral:rRNA from 1 species